rnacentral:siRNA from 1 species
UAUGGGAUUGCCCACCUGCUG